CUUGUUCUUCUCCGCCGCGUAAUUUAUACAUUGAGGAAUGAAGAGAAAUGAACCUCCCACAACGGGAGUGAACGAACCAUCGGAGACCGAAACGAGGAGUUAGUUGUGUCUGAAUUGGUAAAGUCUGUAGGUAUCGGAAUCAGGUUGUAUUUCUUUUUUGGAAAAACCUGGAGAGAGCUACUAGGAUAGUGGAUCUAGGAGGCGUUAAGAAGAUAUGUGGCGAUCCGAGUGGGCGAUCAAUUUUCCAGGUGAUAUCAAACAAUGAUGGUUCAACUGGCUACGCAACAAAUAUUUUUAUGGAGGCUUAGGAAGAGAUGGAACCCAUAUAGGAU